GUUCUUGAUUUCUCCGAAAUUGAAUCAAAACAAUCGUUUCCUAGAGAGUCAAAGUUCCAGUCUUUACUACCAGAUUCUCUUCUUCUUCAGAUGGGUUUCUCGGAAAAGCCAAAGAAGACGAAGAAGGAAACGAAAUCAUCCAGCUUCCGUCAACUGGUGUGAACCCUGUGAAAUUCGCGAUAUGCGUUGUGUUGUGGGCUACGUUCUCUUUGCUUUGGUUUGCUAGGUCUGGAGAUGCCAAAGCGGCUACUGAUUCAAUCAAAUCGUCGAGCUUUGGUCUCAGAAUCGCCGCCACUCUUCGCCAGUUUGGUUGGCCAGACGAAGCUGUGGUGUUUGCUUUAGCCACACUUCCGGUUAUUGAGCUCCGUGGUGCUAUUCCCGUUGGUUAUUGGAUGCAGCUGAAACCUAUGGUUCUCACUUUCUUCUCUGUUCUUGGGCUCUGAGCUCGGUUUUGAAAUCAGCUGGACUAGCGAGGAUCAAACCAGAGACAUUAGGCUGACUUGUAGCUGGAUUGAUGUAAAACUGUGUAGCAAGCUCAGCGGUUUUCUU